UACGUAGGAUGCUAGCGUUGUCCGGAUUUACUGGGCGUAAAGCGCGCGCAGGCGGCACUGUAAGUCAGGUGUGAAAUAUCCCUGCUCAACGGGGAGGGUGCACUUUAGACUGCAGAGCUAGAGGACGGUAGAGGGGGGUGGAAUUGCUGGUGUAGCGGUGAAAUGCGUAGAGAUCAGGAGGAACACCCGUGGCGAAGGCGGCCCCCUGGGCCGAACCUGACGCUGAGGCGCGAAGGCUAGGGGAGCGAACGGG
rnacentral:rRNA from 1 species